ACCCAGACGUUGCUGGGCAAAAUUGUGCAGCGCGUUUGAACCCACGUCCCAUGUUAAUCUCUCCUUCCUUUCCUGCAGGUUCUAGACAUUAAGAAGAAGCUGAAACAGUCCAAAAGGUUCUGGUCCAACCUGCCGGAUGAGAUCUGUACUAAAGACAAGUUGACCGAGCCAGAUGAAGAGCAGUGCUGGAAUAGUCACGCUAAGGCCAGGUAUUUUCCUGAGGUGGUGAAAGACGGCCUCACCAACCAGCUGAACAACCCUGAGGUCGCGGUGGACAUCACUAGACCGGACACUCUGAUUCGCCAACAGAUCAUGACGCUCAGGGUGAUGACGAACAAGCUGAAAAACGCCUACAACGGAAACGACAUUUUCUUUCAGGACUCCAGCGACGAGGGCAGCGGUAGCGGUAGUGGCUGUCCAGAGCGAUGUACCACAGAGUUUGUGUUUGUGGGUUCGGAGUCCCCCGUGGUCGGAGCGGACAGGAGCGACGAGCGAGUUUCGACUGCAUCAGGCAGCGCCUCGCAUCCGUCCAGAACUUCUCUACCGCUGCUACUGACCUUCUCUCUCACGGCGCUGUCCUGGUCCAGGAGAUAAUAAUACCAGCCGGGCUGAGAGGACCACCCCGCCGCUACGACCUCUGGCACCAAUCAGCCAGCCAGCCAGCCGGUCGGGGUACUGACUGUUAGAGUUCUCUAA